rnacentral:snRNA from 1 species
AUCGCUUCUCGGCCUUUUGGCUAAGAUCAAGUGUAGAUGUUCUCCCUAGGUUAUCUUCUAGGAUUUAAUAAGUUUGAAUUUUAUAUUUAAGUAUAUGACCCAUU